rnacentral:rRNA from 1 species
UUUCGCCUACGGGGCGCAGCAGUGAGGAAUAUUGGUCAAUGGGCGGAAGCCUGAACCAGCCACGUCGCGUGAGGGAAUAAGGCCCUACGGGUCGUAAACCUCUUUUGCCGGGGAGCAAGGGCCGGGACGAGUCCCGGUCCGGAGAGUACCCGGAGAAAAAGCAUCGGCUAACUCCGUGCCAGCAGCCGCGGUAAUACGGAGGAUGCGGGCGUUAUCCGGAUUUAUUGGGUUUAAAGGGUGCGUAGGCGGGCUUUUACGUCAGCGGUAAAAAUUCGGGGCUCAACCCCGUCCGGCCGUUGAAACUG